GGAUGUGAGGGCAAUCUGGCUGCGACAUCUGUCACCCCAUUGAUCGCCAGGGUUGAUUCGGCUGAUCUGGCUGGCUGGGCGGGUGUCCCCUUCCUCCCUCACCGCUCCAUGUGUGUCCCUCCCGAAGCUGCGCGCUCGGUGGAAGAGGACGACCAUCCCAGAUAGAAGGAGUGUACCGUUCUUCGGUCAAGGGUAUACGAUAGCUGCGCUCCCCUGCUAGAACCUCCAAACAAGCUCAAAUAAUUUCUUACUUGCCCGUUAGCGCUGGCUCCCAGAGCAGCUUACCAGUAAAACACUGCAAUAUU